GACGAACGCUGGCGGCGCGCCUAACACAUGCAAGUCGAACGAGCGAGAGAGAGCUUGCUUUCUUGAGCGAGUGGCGAACGGGUGAGUAACGCGUGAGGAACCUGCCUCAAAGAGGGGGACAACAGUUGGAAACGACUGCUAAUACCGCAUAAGCCCACGACCCGGCAUCGGGUUGAGGGAAAAGGAGCAAUCCGCUUUGAGAUGGCCUCGCGUCCGAUUAGCUAGUUGGUGAGGUAACGGCCCACCAAGGCGACGAUGGGUAGCCGGACUGAGAGGUUGAACGGCCACAUUGGGGCUGAGACACGGCCCAGACUCCUACGGGAGGCAGCAGUGGGGAAUAUUGCACAAUGGGGGAAACCCUGAUGCAGCGACGCGGGGGGGAGGAAGAAGGUCUUCGGAUUGUAAACUCCUGUUGUUGAGGAAGAUAAUGACGGUACUCAACAAGGAAGUGACGGCUAACUACGUG
rnacentral:rRNA from 1 species